GACGAACGCUGGCGGCGUGCUUAACACAUGCAAGUCGAACGGAAAGGCCCUGCUUUUGUGGGGUGCUCGAGUGGCGAACGGGUGAGUAACACGUGAGUAACCUGCCCUUGACUUUGGGAUAACUUCAGGAAACUGGGGCUAAUACCGGAUAGGAGCUCCUGCUGCAUGGUGGGGGUUGGAAAGUUUCGGCGGUUGGGGAUGGACUCGCGGCUUAUCAGCUUGUUGGUGGGGUAGUGGCUUACCAAGGCUUUGACGGGUAGCCGGCCUGAGAGGGUGACCGGCCACAUUGGGACUGAGAUACGGCGCAGACUCCUACGGGAGGCAGCAGGGGGGAAUAUUGCACAAUGGGCGGAAGCCUGAUGCAGCAACGCCGCGUGCGGGAUGACGGCCUUCGGGUUGUAAACCGCUUUCGCAUGUGACGAAGCGUGAGUGACGGUAAUGGGUAAAGAAGCACCGGCUAACUACGUG
rnacentral:rRNA from 1 species